AACGAACGCUGGCGGCAUGCCUAACACAUGCAAGUCGAACGAUGCCUUCGGGCAUAGUGGCGCACGGGUGCGUAACGCGUGGGAAUCUGCCCUUUGGUUCGGGAUAACUGUUGGAAACGACAGCUAAUACCGGAUGAUGACGUAAGUCCAAAGAUUUAUCGCCAGAGGAUGAGCCCGCGUCGGAUUAGCUAGUUGGUGGGGUAAAGGCCUACCAAGGCGACGAUCCGUAGCUGGUCUGAGAGGAUGAUCAGCCACACUGGGACUGAGACACGGCCCAGACUCCUACGGGAGGCAGCAGUGGGGAAUAUUGGACAAUGGGCGAAAGCCUGAUCCAGCAAUGCCGCGUGAGUGAUGAAGGCCUUAGGGUUGUAAAGCUCUUUUACCCGGGAUGAUAAUGACAGUACCGGGAGAAUAAGCUCCGGCUAACUCCGUGC
rnacentral:rRNA from 1 species